rnacentral:snRNA from 1 species
AUACAUACCUGGUAGGGGAGAUAACAUGAUCUGGAAAGUGAUUUUCCCACGGUGAGGCUUAUCCAUUGCACUCCAGAUGUGCUGACCCCUGAGAUUUCCCCAAAUGUGAGAAACUCAACUGCAUAAUUUGUGGUGGGAGGGGGGAUUGCAUUCGCACUCCCUCC